UACGUAGGGGGCAAGCGUUGUCCGGAUUUACUGGGCGGAAAGAGCGUGUAGGCGGCUCGAUAAGUCUGCUGUGAAAGUCCAGGGCUCAACCCUGGAAGGCCGGUGGAAACUGUCGGGCUAGAGUCCGGAAGAGGCGAGUGGAAUUCCCGGUGUAGCGGUGAAAUGCGCAGAUAUCGGGAGGAACACCAAUGGCGAAGGCAGCUCGCUGGGACGGUACUGACGCUGAGACGCGAAAGCGUGGGGAGCAAACAGG
rnacentral:rRNA from 1 species